GGGCUGCUGGCUCAAUGGUAGAGUGCCUGACUACGAUAAUCACGGAGUCAAUCAGGAGGCUGCAGGUUCGAGCCCUGCGUAGCUCA